ensembl:lncRNA ARHGEF35-AS1 ARHGEF35 antisense RNA 1
AGGUCGGGCGCAGGCGGGGUGACCCGGGGAAGGGGCGCGCACAGAGACAGAGGGAGCCAGCCGGGCCCCACGGUGUCCUCGGACGCCUCCGAAAUCUCCCUGCGUGUUUGUUUCUUCGGAGCUUCACCGGAGCCUGACUCUGGAACCGGCCUGUCUGCCUGCUGCAGUCUGUCAUUCAACAUUUAUUCAACCAAAAAUACUAAGUCAGCUCUAUACAAACUAAUGGAAGGAUACAGCUAUGCAAAUAUAGAACACUAAAGUGUUACAUGACAGAUGUAUGAGAAAAAAGACCUUUUGCUGCUCCUCAGGAUGGCGGGACUUGGGGGCCAUGUACAUGAUGAUGGCACUGCCAAAGAAGAGUCCCACCACGCAGAGGUGGGAGGAGCAGGUGGAGAAGGCCUUUCUGCGGCCCUCCCCAGACUGGAUCCUCAGGAUGGCCGCCAGGAUGUGCGAGUAGGAGACAAGCACCAGGCUGGGUGGCCCCACCAGGAAGAACACGCAGGCUGCAAAGAUGACCACCUGGUUGAGCCAGGUGUCAGCACAGGCCAGCCUGAGG